rnacentral:tRNA from 5 species
UCCCCGGUCGCCUAAACGGCAGGGCAGCGGCCUGUUAAGCCGCCGAGCAACGCUCAUUCCUGGUUCGAGUCCAGGUCGGGGAGCCC